GUGGGGAAUUUUGCGCAAUGGGCGAAAGCCUGACGCAGCAACGCCGCGUGGAGGAUGAAGGUCUUCGGAUCGUAAACUCCUGUCAGUGGGGACGAAAGCCCCGAAAGGGGUUUGACUGUACCCGCUGAGGAAGCCACGGCCAACUCCGUGCCAGCAGCCGCGGUAAUACGGAGGUGGCAAGCGUUGUUCGGAAUUACUGGGCGUAAAGGGCGCGUAGGCGGCUUGGCAAGUCGGAUGUGAAAUCCCCGGGCUCAACUUGGGAACUGCAUCCGAAACUGCUUUGCUUGAGUCCUGGAGGGGGUAGUGGAAUUCCCAGUGUAGCGGUGAAAUGCGUAGAUAUUGGGAGGAACACCUGCGGCGAAGGCGGCUACCUGGACAGUGACUGACGCUGAGGCGCGAAAGCUAGGGGAGCGAACGGGAUUAGAUACCCCGGUAGUCC
rnacentral:rRNA from 1 species